AUCACCACGGUGGUUAAGAAAUUCAUCCCAACAAAUUAUAUGUCAUCAAUUAGCAACAUUAGAAGGCAAUAGGUUGUUGUAUGUUAGGCUAUUAUGGUUUCCCUUUGUGUUAUACCUUUUGGUUUGUGGGUUGUAACCCGUUUUUAGCAUUACACGUGUAUUGUGAGUUAAGAUAAAAAGAAUCAAGGGAGAGAAAGGGGGCUUUUCGCCAUAUUAAUUAAAUUUGUGUUUUUUGUUUUAAGUUUUCUUAUCCCUUUUUACAAGGUUUGAGACAAGGGUUAUGUAACUUAUCUUUGCCCUAUAUCUGAACCGUGUAUGCAUCUUCACCGACGAGUUACAUGGUUACACGGUAUGUGAAUUUUGAAGGUUAUUUCCUUUUUGUUAAUCAAUGGUGACUUGGGAACUAGGGAUUCCGACCAUGGGUCAAAUUUCCAUAUUUACUCUUGCAAGUCUAAUUAGAUUUAUAGGGAAUCAGGAUAAACAUGUAUGGAUUGUUAUUCAUAAUUAUUUUAGGCCACAUGUUCCGUCCAGGCUUUGAAAUACAAUCAAAGAUAUGAAAUUAUAAUACUAGGUUAAGAAAUUGUCCGUGCGCAAAACGGGCCCCAAAGAAAUCUGAGCAAGAACAAGGUGGUAAGACCAAGCAUCGAUACAGGUGUUGGUAUUAUGGGAAGCGAUAUCGGUACUUAUUUUUAUAGUUUUGAAUUAAUUUAAAACAUGACUUUAUUUAUUGUGUUACAUCGACUUUGUUUUCUUUGACUAAAUAAGACAAUUUUGUGUAAUGAAGCCGUUGUAAAUAAACUUUUAUUUUUGUAUCGUAUAUUAUAAUAUACAAGUACAUGUACCGUAACAAACCAAGUUGUAUUGAAAAAUAUUUAUUUUCUUGUUA